AAAAUCUGCACCUCCUCUUCCGAUCCAUCUUCUCAGCCGGUGGAGAGAAGGAGGAGAGGCCAGAAAGGAGAGAGGUGACCAGGGGGCCACGAUUCAUCAUCCUUCCGGUGGACCAAAGGGGAGAAACCAAGCCGGCGAGGAAGGAGAGAAGUCAUCCGGUGGAGGAAAGGGAAGAAGCAAGGAAAAGAAAAGAAACAGAGUGCCCUGUUUCUAAAUAAAAAGGAAAAAGGAUUUAUGUUUAUUUUAACUUAUUCGUUGCUAAUCCUUUUUAUAAAAUUGCUUCCA
rnacentral:lncRNA from 1 species